rnacentral:rRNA from 1 species
UAGGAAUCUGCCUGGUAGUGGGGGAUAACGUUCGGAAACGGACGCUAAUACCGCAUACGUCCUACGGGAGAAAGCAGGGGACCUUCGGGCCUUGCGCUAUCAGAUGAGCCUAGGUCGGAUUAGCUAGUUGGUGAGGUAAUGGCUCACCAAGGCUACGAUCCGUAACUGGUCUGAGAGGAUGAUCAGUCACACUGGAACUGAGACACGGUCCAGACUCCUACGGGAGGCAGCAGUGGGGAAUAUUGGACAAUGGGCGAAAGCCUGAUCCAGCCAUGCCGCGUGUGUGAAGAAGGUCUUCGGAUUGUAAAGCACUUUAAGUUGGGAGGAAGGGCAUUAACCUAAUACGUUAGUGCUUUGACGUUACCGACAGAAUAAGCACCGGCUAACUCUGUGCCAGCAGCCGCGGUAAUACAGAGGGUGCAAGCGUUAAUCGGAAUUACUGGGCGUAAAGCGCGCGUAGGUGGUUUGUUAAGUUGAAUGUGAAAUCCCCGGGCUCAACCUGGGAACUGCAUCCAAAACUGGCAAGCUAGAGUAUGGUAGAGGGUAGUGGAAUUUCCUGUGUAGCGGUGAAAUGCGUAGAUAUAGGAAGGAACACCAGUGGCGAANGCGACUACCUGGACUGAUACUGACACUGANGUGCGAAAGCGUGGGGAGCAAACAGGAUUAGAUACCCUGGUAGUCCACGCCGUAAACGAUGUCAACUAGCCGUUGGGAACCUUGAGUUCUUAGUGGCGCAGCUAA